rnacentral:lncRNA from 1 species
GCUGGACUUGAGGGUGAGACUAAUGUGCAAGGCCUUUAUGUGGCAGGUGAAGUUGCAUGUACUGGUUUACAUGGUGCUAACCGACUUGCUAGCAACUCGUUGCUUGAGGCACUAGUGUUUGCACGAAGAGCUGUACAACCUUCAAUUGAUCACGUGAAUGUGUCUAGAAUUGAUCACGGUGCUUAACCGACUUGCUAGCAACUCGUUGCUUGAAGCACUAGUGUUUGCACGAAGAGCUGUACAACCUUCAAUUGAUCACGUGAAUGUGUCUAGAAUUGAUCACUGUGCUUCAAGUUGGUGGCCACGACCUGUAACCCCAGUGGUACUAGGAGAUACAGUACUUAACAAAGUCAUUCGUUGGACAAGGGAAGUGAGGAAAGAACUAC